GCCAGGCGUUGUGGCACAUGCCUGUAGUCCCAGGUACUCAGGAGGCUGAGGUGGGAGGAUCGCUUGAGCCCAGGAAUUUGAGGCUGCAGUGAGCUGAGAUGGGGCCACUGCACUCCAGCCUGGGCAACACAGCAAAAUCCCAUCUCUA
rnacentral:SRP_RNA from 1 species